AUUUUCCAAUAAUUCUUGGGAACAUCCUCAUUUCUAUCACUAUUCAAGAAGUAUUUCCAGCAAGAUACAAAUUAUGAAUCAUGUGAAAACGCUUCCCAUUAUAUCGCUGAUUGUCUUUAUGCAUCAAUUUUGCACUUCACUAGACACCAUAACCAUUAACCAACCCAUUGUAGAUGGAGACGUUAUAGUUUCUACAGGGCAGACCUUUGCACUUGGUUUUUUCAGUCCAGGUAAAUCGAGCUACCGUUAUCUUGGAAUUUGGUACAACAAAAUUUCCGAAAAAACAGUUGUUUGGGUCGCAAAUCGGGAUUCUCCCAUUAAUGAUACAUCUGGUGUCCUCUCAAUCACCAGUCACGGAAACCUUGCCCUUCACAGCAGAAACCAAACGACUCCCCUAUGGUUCACAAACGCUUCGGCUUUGCCAACAAACAAUUGUGUAGCUCAACUCUUAGAUUCGGGAAAUCUUGUAUUGUUUCGCAGCGGAAGUGCCAUAUGGCAGAGCUUUGAACACCCGACAAAUAAUUUGCUUCCCAACUCAAAACUCGGGCUAGACAGAAGAAAAGGUCUGAACUGGUUCCUAACAUCCUGGAAAUCUUCAGAUGAUCCUGGUACUGGCAAUUUCUCGUGUAGGUUCAACCCUGAAGGUUAUCCGCAAUUGUUCUUAUACGAGGGUCAUGUUCCAAAGUGGAGGGCUGGUUAUUGGAAUGGCGUUAGAUGGUCUGGAGUACCUGCGAUGCAGAGAGUUUUAUUUAUCUUCAACUACACCAUUGUGAACAAUGAGAACGAGAUUUCCGUGUCGUGGAACGAUGUAUAUGGCUCAGUCUUGACAAGAUUAGUGGUGAAUGAGUCCGGCCUUUUCCAACGGUUGAAAUGGCAUGAGGACGAAGGUCAAUGGAAAGAGUUCUUUUAUGCGCCCAAGGAACAGUGUGACAGCUAUGGAUUAUGUGGAGCCUAUGGUAACUGUGUUCGGUACAAUGGUGAAUUCGACUGCACUUGUCUUCCCGGGUACCAGCCCAAAUCACCUCAAGAAUGGCAUCGGAAAGGUGGGUCAGGCGGGUGCGUUAGGAAGAAUCAGACGCCACUCUGCAGAAACGGUGAAGGGUUCGUAGAGGUGACAAAUGUGAAGGCUCCGGAUACUUCAGUUGCCCGUGUAUUGGCAAAUUUGGAUAUGAAAGCUUGUAAAAAUGAGUGCUUGAGGAAUUGUUCAUGCACUGCAUAUGCAAGUCUAGGUACGACAGAAGGAAGCGGAUGUUUGACAUGGUAUGGUGAUUUGCUAGAUACAAGAGUAUUUACAGAAGGUGGACAAAGUAUAUAUGUGCGUGUGGAUGCACUUGAGUUAGCUCAAUAUGCAAAUAAGCGCAAGGACUUUCUAGCAAGGAAAGGGAUAUUGGUAAUUAUGAUACUGUCCGUAGCUACAGCAGUUUCCUCUCUUGUUCUUUUCUCAUACUGCUUGGUGAGGAGGCAGAGGAGAUUAUCACAAAAUGGGCAACAUGAAAUGUUUAUCUGUAGUUCUAGUACUCUCCCAGAUGAUCAUCCAAGGGAAAAGGAGCUUGACAGAUCUGGAAGUGAUCCACAUUUACCUUUCUUCGAUAUAGACACAAUAGUUGAAGCAACUGACAAUUUUUCCAACAAACUUGGAGAAGGUGGUUUUGGCUCAGUGUAUAAGGGUCAACUAUCAAAUGGACAAGAAAUAGCAGUGAAAAGAUUAUCUAAACAGUCAGGACAGGGGAUAAAAGAAUUCAUGAAUGAAGUACAGUUGAUAUCAAAACUCCAGCACAGAAACCUUGUCAGGCUUUUUGGUUGUUGCAUUCAUAAAGAAGAUAAGAUGCUAAUCUAUGAAUAUUUACCAAACAAAAGCUUGGACUACUUCAUCUUUGGUAUGGCUCUCCUUCUAUUUGCUUUCACCCAUUUUUAAUUUGCACUUCUUACCAUAAUUCCUGUAAUCUAAGGAUCUCCAAAACUCAAAUUAACUAUAGAAAAGUCAAGGAAGCAACUAUUGGACUGGAAAAAGCGUUUUGAAAUUAUUUUUGGGGUAGCUCGAGCAGUUUUAUAUCUACAUCAAGAUUCAAGAUUAAAAAUCAUCCAUAGGGAUUUGAAAGCAAGCAAUAUUCUAUUAGAUGCUUCAAUGGAGCCAAAAAUUUCAGACUUUGGGUUGGCUAAAUUGUUCAAGGAACAUCAAAUUGAAGCCAUUACAAAGCAAGUGGUUGGAACAUAUGGCUAUAUGUCUCCGGAAUAUGCAAUGGAUGGUCUAUAUUC